CAGCACGGGGCACUUCGUGCCUCCCCCGAGCUGCUCGGCGUGGAGUCUGCGGCCGAGCCCCUCUUCAUCAUCCUCUUGCUUGAGGCGGCCAAGGUCGUCCUCGUCCUCCUCCUCGACAACCACGAUGGGGGCAAGGUCGUCCUCAACAGACGACAUCCUUGACAACCGAAAGAUGAACAAACAAAAGAAGAUUAGAAGACAACCUGAAGAUUGGCCUGCCAGAUCCUCACCACCGAUUACUAUUCUCAUCCAACCGUGACCUCACCAAGCUAGCCUUCUCCGUUCCUUCCUCUCUCUCACACUCUCUCUCACAUGCCUCACAUCUGACCAAGACAUAGGUGAGGACAUGAGUAAACCAACAACGAAGGGUGCCAGUAUCCUUAUGUUGCCGCAUAUCAGAGACGAUGACCUGGAAGGAAGGGAAUUGGACAUGGCAUCUCGAUUCUUUGCAUACUAUUUUAUGAAGAAUUGUACUAAUAAGAUCUGAUCAUCUAAUGUUUUUGUUGAAAGGUGUAGACGGGAAAUAUGCCAGCAACAAUCAAGGCAUGGGAUAGGAGUGAAGAAAGUGAAGAAAUAUAUAAGCCUACCCAUUCUGAACAGAACUUGGCACAGGACAUUUUUUUGAUCAGAGAAAAUAUUCUCCUUUAUCAAAGUGUGCCCAUAUGUUCAAACUAGAGGACCAACCUAGUGGUUACAGUGUGCCGCAGCUGUUGAGAUGGAGACGAGGACUAGGUUCCAACGGUGUGAAGCAGAACCAUUUCCCUAAGGUCUUCCAUCAAACUGAAGCCUGCAUAUAUUGGCUUGAAGAUCAACGACACUUGAUUGGUAGUUAGUUUCCAUGAGAGUGAAUGAUUUUCAUGGUGUCCAUCCGCUGGCAUGCUACGCCUCCCAGUGUAGCCUUCUCGCUGAUUUAGACCCAGCUGUCGCAUCGCAAUUCUUGGUGUUGUCACCACACAA